CGGUGGAGCAUGUGGAUUAAGUGCAACGCGCAGAACCUUACCUGGUUAAAUCCGCCGGAACCCCGCAGAGAUGGGAUCUCGACCGGUGAAGGUGUGACNAGCGCAACCCCUGUCUUCAGUUGCCAACGGGAUGUCAAGUCUCAUGGCCCUUAUGCCCAGGCUACAUACAUGGCUGGUACAAGGGUUGCAAACUCGCGAGAGCAAGCCUCUCAAAAAACCAGUCUCAGUUCGGAUAGAAGUGCAACUCGACUUCUUGAAGUCGGAAUCGCUAGUAAUCCGGAUCAGCACGCCGGGGUGAAUACGUUCCCGGGCCUUGUACACACCGCCGUCACACCAUGGGAGUCAGUUGCUCCAGAAGUGGCUUGCCUAACCGAAAGGAGGGCGGUCCCUAAGAGUGGCCGGUAACUGGGGUGAAGUCGUACAAGGU
rnacentral:rRNA from 1 species